rnacentral:piRNA from 1 species
GCAGGCCAGGAGGAACCGCUCUGA